rnacentral:rRNA from 1 species
AUUGAACGCUGGCGGCAUGCCUUACACAUGCAAGUCGAACGGUAACGCGGGGCAACCUGGCGACGAGUGGCGAACGGGUGAGUAAUGUAUCGGAACGUGCCCAGUUGUGGGGGAUAGCUGCCCGAAAGAGCAGCUAAUACCGCAUACGACCUGAGGGUGAAAGCCGGGGAUCGCAAGACCUCGCGCAAUUGGAGCGGCCGAUAUCAGAUUAGGUAGUUGGGGAGGUAAAGGCUAACCAAGCCGACGAUAUGUAGCUGGUCUGAGAGGACAACCAGCCACACUGGGACUGAGACACGGCCCAGACGCCUACGGGAGGCAGCAGUGGGGAAUGUUGGACAAUGGACGCAAGUCUGAUCCAGCCAUGCCGCGUGCGGGAAGAAGGCCUUCGGGUUGUAAACCGCUUUUGUCAGGGAAGAAAAGGCUCCUUCUAAUAUAGGGGGCUCAUGACGGUACCUGAAGAAUAAGCACCGGCUAACUACGUGCCAGCAGCCGCCGUAA